rnacentral:rRNA from 1 species
AACGAACGUUGGCGGCGUGGAUUAGGCAUGCAAGUCGAACGAAUCCCAGUUUUGUAGCAAUACCGAGCUGGGGGAAGUAGGCGAAAGGGGACGAGUAAGGCGUGGGUAACCGUACCUCGGGGACGGGGAGUAGCCUUCCUAACGGAGUGGGUAAGUACCUGGCGAUUUGGUUGAGGGGCGAUCUCUUGACCAGGAAAGUAGAAUUUCGCCUCGGGAGGGGCGUCAUGUGAUAUUAGCUAGUUGGCGGGGUAACGGCCCACCAAGGCAAAGAUGUCUAGCGGGUGUGAGAGCACGACCCGCGCCACUGGCACUGAGACACUGGCCAGACACCUACGGGUGGGCUGCAGUCGAGGAUCUUCGGCAAUGGGCGCAAGCCUGACCGAGCGACGCCGCGU